rnacentral:rRNA from 1 species
CAGUCGAGGGGCAUCGGGAGGAAAGCUUGCUUUCCUUGCCGGCGACCGGCGCACGGGUGAGUAACACGUAUGCAACCUGCCCUCUUCAGGGGGACAACCUUCCGAAAGGGAGGCUAAUCCCGCGUAUAUCGGUUUCGGGCAUCCGAGAUCGAGGAAAGAUUCAUCGGAAGAGGAUGGGCAUGCGGCGCAUUAGCUAGACGGCGGGGUAACGGCCCACCGUGGCGACGAUGCGUAGGGGUUCUGAGAGGAAGGUCCCCCACACUGGUACUGAGACACGGACCAGACUCCUACGGGAGGCAGCAGUGAGGAAUAUUGGUCAAUGGGAGAGAUCCUGAACCAGCCAAGCCGCGUGAGGGAAGACGGCCCUAUGGGUUGUAAACCUCUUUUGUCGGAGAACAAAACCCGGGACGUGUCCCGGACUGCGUGUAUCCGAAGAAAAAGCAUCGGCUAACUCCGUGCCAGCAGCCGCGGUAAUACGGAGGAUGCGAGCGUUAUCCGGAUUUAUUGGGUUUAAAGGGUGCGUAGGCGGUCCGUUAAGUCAGCGGUAAAAUUGCGGGGCUCAACCCCGUCGAGCCGUUGAAACUGGCAGACUUGAGUUGGCGAGAAGUACGCGGAAUGCGCGGUGUAGCGGUGAAAUGCAUAGAUAUCGCGCAGAACUCCGAUUGCGAAGGCAGCGUACCGGCGCCAGACUGACGCUGAGGCACGAAAGCGUGGGGAUCGAACAGGAUUAGAUACCCUGGUAGUCCACGCAGUAAACGAUGAAUGCUGGUUGUCCGGGUCGAAUG